GAUGAACGCUGGCGGCGUGCCUAAUACAUGCAAGUCGAGCGAACGGACGAGAAUCUUGCUUCUCUGAUGUUAGCGGCGGACGGGUGAGUAACACGUGGAUAACCUACCUAUAAGACUGGGAUAACUUCGGGAAACCGGAGCUAAUACCGGAUAAUAUUUUGAACCGCAUGGUUCAAAAGUGAAAGACGGUCUUGCUGUCACUUAUAGAUGGAUCCGCGCUGCAUUAGAUAGUUGGUAAGGUGACGGCUUACCAAGGCAACGAUGGAUAGCCGACCUGAGAGGGUGAUCGGCCACACUGGAACUGAGACACGGUCCAGACUCCUACGGGAGGCAGCAGUAGGGAAUCUUCCGCAAUGGGAGAAAGCCUGACGGAGCAACGCCGCGUGAGUGAUGAAGGUCUUCGGAUCGUAAAACUCUGUUAUUAGGGAAGAACAUAUGUGUAAGUAACUGUGCACAUCUUGACGGUACCUAAUCAGAAAGCCACGGCUAACUACGUG
rnacentral:rRNA from 1 species